CGCCAGACUCCUACGGGAGGCAGCAGUGGGGGAUAUUGCACAAUGGGGGGAACCCUGAUGCAGCGACGCCGCGUGGGUGAAGGAGCGUUUCGGCGCGUAAAGCCCCCUCGGCAGGGAAGAAGAUGACGGUACCUGACCAAGAAGCCCCGGCUAACUACGUGCCAGCAGCCGCGGUAAUACGUAGGGGGCAAGCGUUAUCCGGAUUUACUGGGUGUAAAGGGGGCGCAGACGGCGAUGCAAGCCAGGAGUGAAAGCCCGGGGCCCAACCCCGGGACUGCUCUUGGAACUGCGUGGCUGGAGUGCAGGAGGGGCAGGCGGAAUUCCUAGUGUAGCGGUGAAAUGCGUAGAUAUUAGGAGGAACACCAGUGGCGAAGGCGGCUUACUGGACUGUAACUGACGUUGAGGCUCGAAAGCGUGGGGAGCAAACAGGAUUAGAUACCCUUGUA
rnacentral:rRNA from 1 species